rnacentral:rRNA from 1 species
AACGAACGCUGGCGGUAUGCCUAACACAUGCAAGUCGAACGAGACCUUCGUGACUGCUUGCUCACACGUGCGUAACGCGUGGGAACCGUCCCUUAUACUCGGGAUAACUCCCCUAAGUGGGGGCUAAUACCGGGUAAUUUCUGCUGAUCAAAGAUUUGUCGCAUUUGGAUGGGCCCGCGUUGUUUUAGCUAGUUGGUAGUGUAAAAGCCUACCAAGGCGACGAUCCAUAGCUGGUAAGAGAGGAUGAUCAGCGACACUGGGACUGAGACACGGCCCAGAAUACUAGGGGAGGCAGCAGUGGGGAAUACUGGCCAAUGGGCGAAAGCAUGAUCCAGCAAUGCCGGGUGAGUGAUGAAGGCCUUAGGGUAGUAAAGCUCUUUUAUCCGGGAUGAUAAUGACAGUACCGAAAGAAUAAGCUCCGGCUAACUUCGUG